rnacentral:rRNA from 1 species
CGCCGUAAACGAUGAUUACUCGUUGUGCACAAUACAUCGUGCGUGACUGAGCGAAAGCAUUAAGUAAUCCACCUGGGGAGUACGUUCGCAAGAAUGAAACUCAAAGGAAUUGACGGGGGCCCGCACAAGCGGAGGAACAUGUGGUUUAAUUCGAUGAUACGCGAGGAACCUUACCUGGACUUAAAUGUAGAUUGACCGGUCUGGAAACGGAUCUUCUCUUCGGAGCAAUUUACAAGGUGCUGCAUGGUUGUCGUCAGCUCGUGCCGUGAGGUGUCGGGUUAAGUCCCAUAACGAGCGCAACCCCUAUCGUUAGUUGCUAGCAGGUAAUGCUGAGGACUCUAGCGAGACUGCCACCGUAAGGUGAGAGGAAGGUGGGGAUGACGUCAAAUCAGCACGGCCCUUACGUCCAGGGCUACACACGUGUUACAAUGGCCAGUACAAAGGGCAGCUACCUGGUGACAGGAUGCUAAUCUCAAAAGCUGGUCUCAGUUCGGAUCGGAGUCUGCAACUCGACUCCGUGAAGUUGGAUUCGCUAGUAAUCGUAUAUCAGCAAUGAUACGGUGAAUACGUUCCCGGGCCUUGUACACACCGCCCGUCAAGCCAUGGAAGCCGAGAGUGCCUGAAGUACGUUACCGCAAGGAGCGUCCUAGGGUAAAAUUGGUAACUGGGGCUAAGUCGUAACAAGGUAGCCGUA